CAGAACGAACGCUGGCGGCGCGUCUUAAGCAUGCAAGUCGAACGGCAAGAGGUAGCAAUACCUCCUAGAGUGGCGGACUGGUGAGUAACACGUGGGUGACAUACCCUUCAGAUGGGGAUAGCUAUUAGAAAUAGUAGAUAAUACCGAAUACGAGCACAGGGGUUAGAGAUCUGUGAGGAAAGGAGCUAAGGCUCCGCUGAAGGAAUGGCCUGCGGCCCAUUAGCUAGUUGGUGAGGUAAGAGCCCACCAAGGCGAUGAUGGGUAUCCGGCCUUAGAGGGUGAACGGACACAUUGGGACUGAGAUACGGCCCAGACUCCUACGGGAGGCAGCAGCUAAGAAUAUUCCGCAAUGGACGAAAGUCUGACGGAGCGACGCCGCGUGGAUGAAGAAGGCCGGAAGGUUGUAAAAUCCUUUUGAAACUGAAGAAUAAGCGUUGUAGGGAAUGACAGCGUGGUGACAGUAGGUUUUGAAUAAGCAACGGCUAAUUACGUGCCAGCAGCUGC
rnacentral:rRNA from 1 species